rnacentral:rRNA from 1 species
AUUGAACGCUGGCGGCAUGCCUUACACAUGCAAGUCGAACGGCAGCACGGGAGCAAUCCUGGUGGCGAGUGGCGAACGGGUGAGUAAUAUAUCGGAACGUGCCCAGUCGUGGGGAUAACGUAGCGAAAGCUACGCUAAUACCGCAUACGAUCUAUGGAUGAAAGCGGGGGAUCACAAGACCUCGCGCGAUUGGAGCGGCCGAUAUCAGAUUAGGUAGUUGGUGAGGUAAAGGCUCACCAAGCCGACGAUCUGUAGCUGGUCUGAGAGGACGACCAGCCACACUGGGACUGAGACACGGCCCAGACUCCUACGGGAGGCAGCAGUGGGGAAUUUUUGGACAAUGGGCGCAAGCCCUGAUCCAGCAAUGCCGCGUGCAGGAUGAAGGCCU